CUAAAAUGCAAUUAUUGUAAAACCAUAUAAAUAUACAAGGUGUGUAAUCUCAUUAUAGACACACAUAGUUUACAUAUUUUUACAGUAACUAAAUAAAAGAGGCGGUGUCAUGUCCUAUUUAAAUUCUGCAUCAAUUUGACCAUAGUCAUGCAUUAUGUGCAUUGCUCAUUAAAAGUAAGAAAGAAUAAUAUAGAUAGAAAGUGGCACUUCGCAGUUAUAAUGAAAUUGGGGGAAAAAGUGAUAUGAGAAUGAAUUCCUUGAAGCAUCUGGAAGAAUGAAAUUCCUUCUCGUAUAAAAAGGAAUUGCAAGCUCACCUCGGGAUUUAAGUCAUUGACUUUCUCGAUUGCAUCUUCAACAUUACCACUUUGUACUGCCUUCUUAACGGCCAUCCGAUCAGUUAUUGUAGCAAGAUCAAUGAUACGCUCAGUUCCAGACUCCUUGCGAAAUUUCUCUGCAGCGUCAACAAAGCCCUCGGUAACAAGGAAAUUCAUUACCAAUUUAUUCAUGUCUUCUUUCCUAAUCUUGACAUUGUUAAGCUUUUUUUCCCACUCUUCCCUUGUUAUCACUUUCUUUGAUGCCGCCUUUACACAUGUAUUUCAAAGAUGAAAAUCAUUAGUUUACCAUUACCAUGAAACACAUGGGAAUCACUACAUUUCCAUCACCCAUGAUGCACAACAUUGUCUACAACCAGUUCAAAUAUAGAAACACUUCUAAGAAAAAGACUAUUUGACUCUUUAUAAAACACACUUCCGUCUUAUGCAAAAUGACAGAAAUUGAUGCAUCAUUUUGUUUUGCUAAACGUUUACAUGC
rnacentral:lncRNA from 1 species